ensembl:lncRNA
AACUAAAUUUGUUAAAGUCUUUAACCCUUGUGCUAUCUUUGAUGACCCCCCCUUAUAUUGAGGUGUUCUCCCUACCAUGACAAAGGUGAAUAAAGGUGGAAAGAUUUCAUGUAAUCCAUGGACACCAGUGAAGAUCACAAAUCAUUGAAGAAAAAAGGUUCAGCGCAAUGUCUAGUGGGUCUAGAUGACCCAACUCCCAAUGGAUAGCACAAGGGUUAAGAGUAGUGGGAAUUGAUUGUUUAGGUAGUGUUAAGAAUUGUAUGAUGUCAUCGGCAUACAAAGCAAUCUUAUGCUCCAUGUUCCCCAGCGAUAUUCCCUUAACCUCAGCUUGCAUGCGCAUAGUUUCAGUUAGUGGCUCAAAUGCUAAGGCAAAAAGAAGUGGGCUAAGAGGACAACCUUGGCACGUCUCUCGCUAAUGGAAAGGGUUCAGAGCAGCGACCAUCAGUCAACACAGAGGCUGUAGGUGAAUGGUAAAUGGCCUGUAUCCAUCUAAGAAAGCUACCCCCAAGUCCGAAUCUAUGGAGAACGUCAAAAAGGUACUUCCACUCUAUCCGAUUGAAAGCUUUUUCAGCAUCGAGAGAGACAGCCAGGGCUUUCUGCUUCCUUUCAGAGGAGAACUGUAUAAUAUUCAGCAGCCUUCUCACGUUGCUGGGGAAUAACCGACCCGGCACAAACCCUAACUGGUCUGAGUGAACGAGGGUUGGGAGGAAGUUCUGCAGCCUUUGUGUUAUGUGCCUGUCAGUCUCCUCCCCCUCCUGCUCUGCUCCUGACUCCACCAGCUGGGACCAAUUCACCUCGUCACUGCUUCUGCUCUUAAGGAGUUCCAGACCCAUUAGCCAACGCCAGUUCGUUGCCCUUUAUGGAUUCCAGCCUCCAAGUGUCCCCAGUGUGGAUGUCAGUCCGAGUCCUCCUACAGUCCGGUGGAAACCUCAAGCUCUGCCAAGCUGCGCUCUUAUCUCCAGCCACGCCACAAGCCGCUGUUCUCUCCAGCUGCCCUCCAAGCCACACCAACUUUCCUGGAAGGAAAAAAAUAAAACUCUUUCACCUCCUUGUCCUCAUUCUGGGUUUCAGCAUCUGGGUCUGUCAAUCCUUCAAGUCAUGACACUUUGAGCAAGAAGUUUAGAGAGCACCUUGCUGUCAACAGAAAUAAGACUGAUGGGACCGAAAAGGACCACAUAAGUAAGUAUAGUUUGUCUUUUAUUGAGAUCACAGACACAUGUGCAGGACUUAAUGUGGGGGGAAGGAAGCCUUUCUCAAAUUAAUCUACAAACACAUCUGUUAGUGGACGAACCAGCAUCUUACAAAAUGUUUUAUAAAAUUCAGGGCCAAAACCAUCUGGUCCUGGAGCGUUGCCUCCCUUUAGAGCAGAUGUGGCCUCAGAGACUUCCUCUUUGCUUAUUGAAUUAUUUAGAAAUGUCUGAGUAGGGUAGUAAGUAGGAAGUUUUAUUUUGUCAAGAAAAUCUGCCCUGCUGUCAGCAGAGGAUUCACAUUGAGAGCUAUAAAGGUCUUGGUCAAAUAAUUUCAUGACUUUGUUUAUAUCUGUAGACUUGUUUAGCCUCUUUUUGAAUUAAAAGAUGCAUAAAACACCUGUCCCACCCAGCUCCUCCUCAGUUUUACAUGUUCUGUAUCUGAAAGAUGAGUUUCCUGGAGCAAGCCAUCUGACAUUUCUCCUUCCUGAGAGAGGAUAAGAUUUUCCGGCGUUAGAUAACAUGGUUGAUGCCUUUUACAUUAAGUGAGAUCAUCUUUGAAUCAGCCAUCUGUUGCUGUUAGAGUUGAUGUUAGUUUUUAUAGGGUAACAUUUAGCAUUUUGAAAACCAACGGUCUCUUGGAAUGUUUGUGGGCCUGUGCACUGCUUAUACAUAGAAAAAUCACAAAAAAAGAAAAAUAAUACAGGUAGGUGAAAAUGGCUGUCUUUAACAAUCUGUCCCCAAACAACGAACUCCUCCCCCAGAACAAAACCACACACACCACACACCACACACACCACACACACCACAAACAACAUUACCCUUCCAUUGGGAACAACAUUCCUGGGAUGAGUGAAGCUGAGAGACAUCUCCUCCAGCUCAGAGAGUGCACCAGACAGCUCCAGAAUCUCUAGUCCUACCGCUGAGCUGCUACACUACACAUCCCGCCCAGUUAUUUACAGCUAAACCCCGGUCUAUACAUGUUAGCCUUACAUGGAAUAACAAAAUUAACAUUCAUCGAUCUAUCAAUAAGGUAAUCAGCACAGCUUCAAGAAACAGCUGAUGGAACCCUCAAAAAGAAAAUAGAUUUUUAUUUUCCAGACUUAUUUUCAUGAUGUCAGCAGUGAAGUUUAGUCAGUUUACCGCCUCAGACCAAAAUUCUCUGAGCAGUAGUUAUUUCAAACCGUUUUUAUCCAGGAACUCCUCUGCUGCCUGUGAGCUCCUGAAGGAUCGCUCCGCGCCUUUAAGGCUGAAGCAGAGCAUGGCAGGGUUGCGCAUGGAGAACCGGACCCUGCCCUGGAUCAGGCGCUGGCACGUUCCGUUGAACUUCUGUCUGGCUUCACGCACCUGAACCGAGAAGUCCUGACGGAUGUAGAUCCUGCUGCCUUUGUAGAUGAUCUCUCCUUUCUCCCUGGCCGCUGUAAGGAUCCGCUGUCUGUCAGUGAAGUUAUGCAGCUUGAUGAUGACGGGUCUGCAGCGGUCCUCCUUUGGCGGGCCGAGUGCGCGGUGCGCCCUGUCCAGCUUUAUAACUCUGCGCUUGGUCUCCAUCCUUAGAACCUCUGGGAGCCAGGAUUCGAAAAAUGUCACCGCAGAUUGUCCCUCAGAGCCCUCUUUCAGACAGAUUAUCCUGAUGUUUUUCCUGUGGCUGCGGUUCUCCCCAUCGUCACACCACUCCGUCAGAGUUUUAACUUUCUGCUGGAGUUCAGUGACUUGGUUCUCCAGGGAUAUAAUACGGUCUUCAUCUUCAGAAAUCCGGUUCUCUGAUUGAUGUCCAGGGUAGAUCGCAGAUCCAGGAAUUUCUCCUCCAUCAGCUCGCCGAUCCUCUUUGUCACAGUUUGGGUGAUGGAGGCUGCAGCGCUGCUUUCCAAGCUAGCAUUUUAGCUAGCUGGUUGCGGCGGCUUCAGUUUGGAGUCAGAGCGAGUUUUCUUCGACAUUUUUUGGAGCAGAUAUAGAUCGUUCAGGUUGGAAAAAGUCUUAGAAAAUGGAAAUGUAAAAGAUUUCCGGGAUUUAAAAAAAGUAAGCAGGUUAAAUUUGAAUUUAUGGCGGGAGGCUGGCAAAGUACGUCCUCUCACGCAAAUAGCAUCACAUGACCCCCAGAUAUUUUUUUUUAAAUAAAAGAAAAAAACGCCCCUCUCACCCUCCGCGUGUGGUUUUUCACCCAAGCUCGGGUCCUCUGCCAGAGGCCGGGGAGGUCCUGCACAUUAUGUUAGCUGUUCCUAGCACUGUGCUUUUCUGUACUGAGAUGUUUGAGGUCUUUACAGGGAUCUGCUGUAACCACUCCUCCAGGUUGUGGGUUACUGCCCAGCGUGCUCCAAUUACCAUGGUCACCACUGUCACCCUAAACUUUCCAUGCUUUCUCCAGUUCUUCU